ensembl:lncRNA
ACAGCACACCCUCUUGAAACAAUUCCCUUCUGAAUUUCCUGCAGGACACAAAGCAGGCAGAGCUGGCACAGCUCUAUGUUGCAAAGCAGCCCACACCCCAGGACUUCGUUGUACGAAUAUGUCCAAGUGUGCCUCUGCAGGAAAAUGAAGAUGUGAUUUCACCAGAGCUAUAGCAGUGGGACUGCAGAAGCAGCUGUGGGUCAUGGCCUAUGGACUUGCACAGGAGGGCGAUGUGCAGGCUGCAAUUUGAAGAUCGGAAGAACAGAACUGUGACAGCAACAAGAGGGGGAUUUGCCAUCUUCAAACAGCGCUUUACAACCGCAACAGCCAAGAUGAGAAACUGAGGCACAAAUUGCUCCCAACACCCAGAUUUCCCAGAUUAUUUGGCUUGGAAAUAACAUUGAGGAUCAAUCACAGCCAUUUGGAGACAGACCCAGAAUGCACCACAGAAGUGCUGUGAAUCCUUCUUCAUUUCUUGGCUGAAGUGGCAACCAGAUCCUCAGCAUCCUCACCCAAGUUUGCGCCCUCAACACAGCGUGGCCCUCUGCCAGCUGGCAGGUAAGACGAGGAUAGAGCACUUGCUCAGAGGAUGGUUUUUCACUUGGCACUGCUGUGCCCGGGACCAGGCUCCAAAAGCAAGCACAAGGGAACUCGUUAAGUACAACAGGAUGCGAUUAGUCCCACAUGGGGAGCUCAUGUGUUAUAUCAAAAGAAACAACAACCAGCUGGUAGAACUACUUACAUCAAGGAAAGGAAUGGUGAGGAGGAGAGCUGAGGAGAGCAGUGACCACCAGGAGAGCGAGUACUGGGUAUGAGACAAGAAGCUUUUGGAUCUACGUGGGCAUGACUGCACCCCGGUCAAGGGGACAACGUGACACACAAAGGAGGUGACCCUGCAGCGUGACAGAUCUGAAUGCACGGAGUACAGAUGGAGCAUCUCCGAGGGAUGUGGUCUGAGGAAUCACAAGUGAAAUUGAUGAGAACUUGAUGCAACACCAAGCACUUUUAUCAGAAUUUCAAUGGAAAUUCCAAGCAAAGCAGGUUGGAUGACAAGCACAUGAACACCGACCUUGGGAAGAGCAACUAUGCAUGUUGGUGGUAGGACAUAAGUGCUGCACAGCCCCUUCCAGGAGCACCUGGAGAUGCUUCCAGAAGACUCUGCCUGGACACAGUGUGCUGCUUGACCACAUCUGCCUGUUGUAAAGCGAAGUACCUAAAGCAAGCCAAAUUCAUGGAAGGCGAAGCACUUAUUUAGUGCAAUUUAGCAGUCACCUGUGCACCUGGGAAAUCUGCUUGGUGCUAAAGGUUUGCCUGAGCCCUGGUUCUGUGAGGAUAAAUGAGAACGUGUGUUGGGCAAGAGCAGCAGGAGGCAGCCAGAUCUGCACUGAGCUAACCUCAUCCCACCCAGUAUGCAAGAAAUGUAUCUGUGAAGAACUACUCGUACAACUGUGUUCAUCAGCAAAGACUUACAUUAGUGCACAGCUUCCAUUACGCCUAACUGAAACCAAAGAGAGUCAGCUCGUCUUGGACUUCAUAGCAGAGCCCAGUGAGGAUGAAAGAUCACCCCUUGUUAACAGCAAGGGGCUCAUAGGAGACUGGUGUCAGCAGCAGCAAAAAGGAAGGAGAGCGAGGCGUGCAGGAGCAGAGCAGACAUCCUUCUCACCAUCUCUUCCACGACUGUUGAACUGCUUCCUCUAAGAGAUUAAGAUGACGACCUGUCCUGCUGUCUCCGGGCUGGGAGAUAAGGUCUAUCUCUGCAUCCCAACUGUCCUCGCUGGGGAACUGCAAGGAGUGGUGCUGACAGGAGUGCAGCAAGGGAGGAGAUGGGGAGAGCAGUGAGCAGCAAAUGGAAAAUUCUGGCACUGCGGGGCUGAGCGAGAGUGUCACUGCUGACAUCACUAAAAGUAGGAUCAAACCUGAUCUAAAAAGCAAUUUGGAAUAUGAGCUUUUCUUUCCAAAUGAGCGGUAAGUGCCUUCCUUCACACGGAAUCCGGUGCAGUAAUAGUGGCUUCUAUUACACUUUAAAUUGAUUGGCUUUAUGGCCCAGAACUGGGGAAUUGCCCUAGCCUGAUCUCGGCGGGCUCAUGUUUCUAAUUCUGGCAACUCUAAAUCCGGAUGCCCUGAAAAUCCGUGCUGUUGCUUACAGUGUGUGCUGUUAUCUCCAUUUUCAUGUGUCCGGGCAAAAUAAAGGAGCCGGGAUGCACAGAAGAUUGGCCAAAAGGUGAAAAGGAAACCAGGAAAGCAAGCUAGCGAGUGCAGAAGGAAAAGUUUACAUGCAGAGUUCAUCCAUGUAUAAUCUUGAAUGAUUAUUAGAGAAUGGCUUGGGUUGGAAGGAACCUCCAUGAUCAUCCACUUCCAACCCCAUGCUAUAGACUGGUUGCCAACUGCUAGACCAGGCUGUGCACAGUCCCAACCAGCCUGGCCAUGAAUGCCUCCUUUGUAUUUGCAUUAUCCAAGACCUUUUGUAUGAGAGCGAGGUAGCAUCUCUGUGUCCUUCCAUUGGGGUCUGAAGGACAUGGAUGGAGAGAUGCAGACACCACCACGCUUCUGAGCCCACGUCAAUCCUUUGCACGGCCUGUGUGCAGCCCCAUUUAGGACAUCAGAACCUGUAUUUGUGCCACCAGGUUAAAAAAUAGCCCCACUGAAAGGAAAAGCUUAACAAGGUGCAGCACAUCGGCAUGAAGGAAAGAGCAGCUGAUGGGCUGCAGAGUGACUUGGAGGAGCUCCCACCCUGUGCUGGAGCAGAGCUCAUAACUCCGGCUCACACGGAGGACGUGCCCUGGGGGAAUUAUUCUACCUUUGAUCCGCACACGAAAUCCCAGCUGCUGUCAGAGGAGCCGUGCAUGCCUAACCACGGCUGUACAUCAUCCUAAU